UUAGGCCUACGGGAGGCAGCAGUGGGGAAUAUUGGGCAAUGGGCGCAAGCCUGACCCAGCAACGCCGCGUGAAGGAAGAAGGCCCUCGGGUUGUAAACUUCUUUUAUAUAGGACGAAGAAGUGACGGUACUAUAUGAAUAAGCCACGGCUAACUACGUGCCAGCAGCCGCGGUAAUACGUAGGUGGCAAGCGUUAUCCGGAUUUACUGGGUGUAAAGGGCGUGUAGGCGGGAGAGCAAGUCAGAUGUGAAAACUACAGGCUUAACCUGUAGCCUGCAU
rnacentral:rRNA from 1 species